GAUGAACGCUGGCGGCGUGCUUAAUACAUGCAAGUCGAACGGAGAUUGCAGCGAUGUAAUCUUAGUGGCGAACGGGUGAGUAACGCGUUGGUGACCUGCCCCAAAUCGUGGGAUAACAGUUCGAAAGGACUGCUAAUACCGCAUGAAGUUACGGGAGUUAGAGAGCCGUAACGAAAGGAGCGAUUCGAUUUGGGAGGGGCCUGCGUCCCAUCAGCUAGUUGGUGAGGUAAAAGCUCACCAAGGCGACGACGGGUAGGGGGCCUGAGAGGGUGACCCCCCACACUGGCACUGAAACACGGGCAAGACACCUACGGGUGGCAGCGGUAGGGAAUAUUGGUCAAUAGGCGAAAGCCUGAACCAGCAACGCCGCGUGCACGAUGAAGGCCUUCGGGUCGUAAGUGCUUUUCGGGGAGACGAGGAAGGACGGUAUCCCCGGAAUAAGGAUCGGCUAACUACGUGCCAGCAGCCGCCGUAAAAC
rnacentral:rRNA from 1 species